GAUGAACGCUGGCGGCGUGCCUAAUACAUGCAAGUCGAGCGAACAGACGAGGAGCUUGCUCCUCUGACGUUAGCGGCGGACGGGUGAGUAACACGUGGAUAACCUACCUAUAAGACUGGGAUAACUUCGGGAAACCGGAGCUAAUACCGGAUAAUAUAUUGAACCGCAUGGUUCAAUGGUGAAAGACGGUUUUGCUGUCACUUAUCGAUGGAUCCGCGCCGCAUUAGCUAGUUGGUAAGGUAACGGCUUACCAAGACAACGAUGCGUAGCCGACCUGACAGGGUGAUCGGCCACACUGGAACUGAGACACGGUCCAGACUCCUACGGGAGGCAGCAGUAGGGAAUCUUCCGCAAUGGGCGAAAGCCUGACGGAGCAACGCCGCGUGAGUGAUGAAGGUCUUCGGAUCGUAAAACUCUGUUAUUAGGGAAGAACAAAUGUGUAAGUAACUAUGCACGUCUUGACGGUACCUAAUCAGAAAGCCACGGCUAACUACGUG
rnacentral:rRNA from 1 species